GUAAUCCAGGUCAGUUUCUAUCUAUGAAGCGCCCCCUCCUAGUACGAAAGGACCGGAAAGGGAAGGCCAAUGCUCCCAGCAUGCCUUACUCUUACUUGAUGAAAACAACUAAAUCAAGCAAGAGAGCACACCCCUUCGCCCUAAGAUAACGGCAU
rnacentral:rRNA from 1 species